rnacentral:rRNA from 1 species
UACGGGAGGCAGCAGUAGGGAAUCUUCGGCAAUGGACGAAAGUCUGACCGAGCAACGCCGCGUGAGUGAAGAAGGUUUUCGGAUCGUAAAACUCUGUUGGUAGAGAAGAACGUUGGUGAGAGUGGAAAGCUCAUCAAGUGACGGUAACUACCCAGAAAGGGACGGCUAACUACGUGCCAGCAGCCGCGGUAAUACGUAGGUCCCGAGCGUUGUCCGGAUUUAUUGGGCGUAAAGCGAGCGCAGGUGGUUUAUUAAGUCUGGUGUAAAAGGCAGUGGCUCAACCAUUGUAUGCAUUGGAAACUGGUAGACUUGAGUGCAGGAGAGGAGAGUGGAAUUCCAUGUGUAGCGGUGAAAUGCGUAGAUAUAUGGAGGAACACCGGUGGCGAAAGCGGCUCUCUGGCCUGUAACUGACACUGAGGCUCGAAAGCGUGGGGAGCAAACAGGAUUAGAUACCCUGGUAGUCCACGCCGUAAACGAUGAGUGCUAGAUGUAGGGAGCUAUAAGUUCUCUGUAUCGCAGCUAACGCAAUAAGCACUCCGCCUGGGGAGUACGACCGCAAGGUUGAAACUCAAAGGAAUUGACGG